rnacentral:rRNA from 1 species
UUUUAUGAGAGUUUGAUCCUGGCUCAGGACGAACGCUGGCGGCGUGCCUAAUACAUGCAAGUCGAACGCUUCUUUUUCCACCGGAGCUUGCUCCACCGGAAAAAGAGGAGUGGCGAACGGGUGAGUAACACGUGGGUAACCUGCCCAUCAGAAGGGGAUAACACUUGGAAACAGGUGCUAAUACCGUAUAACAAUCGAAACCGCAUGGUUUUGAUUUGAAAGGCGCUUUCGGGUGUCACUGAUGGAUGGACCCGCGGUGCAUUAGCUAGUUGGUGAGGUAACGGCUCACCAAGGCCACGAUGCAUAGCCGACCUGAGAGGGUGAUCGGCCACAUUGGGACUGAGACACGGCCCAAACUCCUACGGGAGGCAGCAGUAGGGAAUCUUCGGCAAUGGACGAAAGUCUGACCGAGCAACGCCGCGUGAGUGAAGAAGGUUUUCGGAUCGUAAAACUCUGUUGUUAGAGAAGAACAAGGAUGAGAGUAACUGUUCAUCCCUUGACGGUAUCUAACCAGAAAGCCACGGCUAACUACGUGCCAGCAGCCGCGGUAAUACGUAGGUGGCAAGCGUUGUCCGGAUUUAUUGGGCGUAAAGCGAGCGCAGGCGGUUUCUUAAGUCUGAUGUGAAAGCCCCCGGCUCAACCGGGGAGGGUCAUUGGAAACUGGGAGACUUGAGUGCAGAAGAGGAGAGUGGAAUUCCAUGUGUAGCGGUGAAAUGCGUAGAUAUAUGGAGGAACACCAGUGGCGAAGGCGGCUCUCUGGUCUGUAACUGACGCUGAGGCUCGAAAGCGUGGGGAGCAAACAGGAUUAGAUACCCUGGUAGUCCACGCCGUAAACGAUGAGUGCUAAGUGUUGGAGGGUUUCCGCCCUUCAGUGCUGCAGCUAACGCAUUAAGCACUCCGCCUGGGGAGUACGACCGCAAGGUUGAAACUCAAAGGAAUUGACGGGGGCCCGCACAAGCGGUGGAGCAUGUGGUUUAAUUCGAAGCAACGCGAAGAACCUUACCAGGUCUUGACAUCCUUUGACCACUCUAGAGAUAGAGCUUCCCCUUCGGGGGCAAAGUGACAGGUGGUGCAUGGUUGUCGUCAGCUCGUGUCGUGAGAUGUUGGGUUAAGUCCCGCAACGAGCGCAACCCUUAUUGUUAGUUGCCAUCAUUCAGUUGGGCACUCUAGCAAGACUGCCGGUGACAAACCGGAGGAAGGUGGGGAUGACGUCAAAUCAUCAUGCCCCUUAUGACCUGGGCUACACACGUGCU